CGGGGGCGCGGCUCCUCCGCGGGAGGGCUUGCCCCCCGCCUCAGCUGCCUGGCGCUCCCCGCGCUAACGGGCCCGGUGCAUCGCCACCGCGGCCCCGGCCCCGCCCGAGCUCGGCUGUGCCCCCAGGCCGGGCUCUGGGCCCCGGGCGCCCGCGGGCCAGGACGCCUCCCGCCGAGGCGCGGGGGCAGCUACAUCGCGGGGCGCCUGGGCGGCGGCGCCAAAGCCAGGGUCACAAGGGCACGGGGCGGGUGGGGGGGGGGAGGUGGGGUGCGGGAGGGGGCAAGAGACCGGGGCAGAGGUCGGCGCCCGCCGCGGGCGCUUUCACGCCGCGGGCAUCGCCCGCCCGGCUUCGGCGCCCCGGGCGCAAAGCAGGAGCGCAAACUCUGCCCGAGGCGGCGACGGCUGCGGUCUGGGCUCACUGGGGAGCGACUAGGUGCCCGCGGCGGCCCAGCUGCCUGGACCUCUCCCCUCCCCGGGGUGUGCCCCCAGCCCAAGGCGACCCGCUUAGGCGCUGGGUCGGCUACGGGAGUAGAGGUUUCUCCGGAGCCAGCGAGCCGAGCGGAGACACCGGGAGAAUUGAAGAGGAGGAGGAGGAAGAGGAGGAGGCGGAGGUGGAGGAGGAGGAGAAAAAGGAGGAGGAGCAGAGUGGGAGGAGGAGCCGCCGGCCGCGGGCCCCGCCGCGCGCAACGCUCUCCAAGAGCGCGCCGAGCCCAGCCCCGGCUCUGCAGUCCGCGCCAGCCAAGCGUCCGCGCCUUUUCUACAGCCGCGCCUGACAUCACGUCCUGCCGCCGCGCCAUUGGCCGCCCGGCACCCCGGGCCCCGGCAGCGCGUGCUCCGGGAAGGCGGGAGACCCGAGAGGGAGGGGAACCGCAAGAGGAGGAGAGGAGCGACGAGAUGGCAGGGAUGUUGCUCUUGGAGAAUGUGAAGACAGUUUGCUUCUUGACAAGCGAGCGAACGGGCGCCCAGAUUUUUGCAGCCUCUCGAGUCUCUCCCGAGGGAAAGGCAGGCAGAGAAAACGCCUGAUUUGGGAGCCACCAGGGAAGGAUUCCGUGCAGGGGGAGCCGCCCUCUUUGGCCCCAGACCGGCCUGCCGGGGACCCCCUUUGGGCAUAGCCAACGGAUGACCUGAAACACUGAGGAUGGUUCUGGGGAUUGGGGUGGGGAAAGCCUUUUGGAUAAUAACUGCAAAGAAGAAAGAGGCGAAGACAACUGUUUCUUCUCUGCCUUGCAGCAGGAGGAACUGUGUUCUUAAAGCUGUUGGCUGCAGUCACAGGGCCAGUUGCCUGCCUCCGUUCCCUGAGUAAAGUGUAAUGUCUCCUGUUUUCAGGGUUGCACCCUUCAGCAAAUUAUAUAUCUUGCUCGACUGUGAAAUAGGUCUUGCUAAGGAAGUGUGUGUGUGUGUGUGUGUGUGUGUGUGUGUGUGUGUGUGUGUUUAUGGGGGUGUGUCUCUCUACAGUGAGGCUGCUACUAGAGGUGCUAGUUAUUCAUUUCAAAAACCUGGUGGUUAAAAACUUUAAAAAGGGAGGGAUCAUUG
rnacentral:lncRNA from 1 species